rnacentral:rRNA from 1 species
CGCCUGUUUAUCAAAAACAUGUCCUUUUGUUAUUUAUUUUAGGUUUAACCUGCCCAAUGAUUUAUUUAAUGGCCGCGGUAUUUUAACUGUGCUAAGGUAGCAUAAUCAUUUGUCUUUUAAUUAAGGGCUGGAAUGAAAGGUUGGACAAAGUACUUACUUUCUUUAAUUUAGUUUGUUGAAUUUAAUUUUUGAGUGAGAAAGCUUAAAUUUUAUUGUUGGACGAGAAGACCCUAUAGAUCUUUACAUUUAGUUUAUUUAUGGUGUUUAGGGAUUUAAUUAAUUAUAAUUAAUUAUAUGUUUGAUUGGGGUGAUUGUAGAAUUUAAAUAACUUCUAUUUAUGUAUUCAUAAGUUAAUGUUUAUUUGAUCCAUUUAUAAUGAUUAUAAGAUUAAGUUACCUUAGGGAUAACAGCGUUAUUUUCUUGGAGAGUUCAUAUCAAUAAGGGAGUUUGCGACCUCGAUGUUGGAUUAAAAUAAGUUUAAAUGCAGCAGUUAAUAACUAGGUCUGUUCGACCUUUUAAUUUUUACAUGAUCUGAGUUCAAACCGGAG